UAGACGAGGCAGACAUUGACAAACCAGGAUAGUUAUGCCUGAAACGUGUUUCUCUCUGUAGAUACACUUGUACAGAGCAAUUCAGAUGGUGGGAGCAUGAAGACAUCCUUGAAUGAAGAUGCCUGCAAACACAGAGCCAGAAAGGCCUUUUCACAGCUCUUGGAGUUUCCUAUCAGAUAAGUUGUUUUCGCCAAACCAUUUUCAGUCUCUCCAAAUUUUGGAAUGACUGAGGAGAUUUAUCACUCAGAAAAGUUUCCUGAUAAUCUACUCAACAAGUUAUCACCCUCUAUUAGAAAUGGAUAGUUCCCUUUUACAGUUCACUGGCAUUUACUGCUCCCACUGAGAGAUUUCUGGCAGUCUUGGAAUAAUACGAGAUCCAUGUGGAAGCUCAGCUAAUACAAGACAGGGAAAUAACAACUUUUAGCUGAAACGAGCAUCAUAAAGUCACAGUUUUUCAAGUUUUAGAGCACUUGAACUUCGUAUGACAAACCACAGCUGAGGUCUUAUCUGAAACUAUGAACGAGGCACCUUUCUGGCAAGUCCUGCCAUAAACACUCAAGUGUUUGAUGCUAUCAUUGGUGCUAUUCUUGUCUCUUGGGAUGAGUCACCAGAAACAUUUGUCAUACCUCUGUACACAGACGAAGGCUAAGGAGACAGACUACCAAGUAUCCAGUAUCAUGGGUGGUUAAGUUUAGUAAAAUAUUUUACUUCAGGCUGUUUCUCAGAUUGAUGCCUGGACUUUGACAGCAGUGUUGGGAGCCACAUCCAGUCAGUGGUGGCACGCUUGAGUGCGUGCAGGUGCAAAACAAGUGACCACACCUGCCAGUGCUGAGUUACCAGUAUGCAUCUUUUUCUUCUUUAAACAAUUUAGGCACCUAAGGAAGCGCCUCAUCUGCACCCAGGCAGAGCAAAGACAUUUUGGACACUGGCCUUUUGAGGGUCUUUGGGAGAUGUAGCAUCCUAGAUACUAUGCUGUCACAUAAACAGCACACAUUGUCACAGGACUUUGAAUGAUCUGGUUGGGGCUACGUGUCAGACGUAGGCAGCUUUGUGGUCUGUCUCCCUCAGGCCUCUGACUCACAAUUUUCAGAAAACUAGGCUCUUCAGGUUGAUUGAGAAUGCAAAGUGACUUUGAUUCAGUGUCUUUAGAAUAAAAAGGAAGAAGAAUGGUGCAUGAUUCCAACAGGAUUUAUGGAUUAAAGGUGUCUUUUAAUACCUGCAUUAACCACAAGAUAGUUUCCUGGGGAACUGUUCUGUCUCCUUCACAUGGAACAGUUGAUGCAUUUUGCCUCACUAAGAGAAUAGGUAUUUCUAUACUUCUCACAGCAGCACAAGAGGGCUUCAGUACCCUCUUUAGGUUUAUGAAUCUCAGUGUGCAAUGUUUAUCAUUGCUAAAUAUAGAUGUGAAAAACAUCUAUCCAUUUAAUGGUAUUUAAAACACAAUGGCUCUUCAGCCUCUUCAGAUUUCCUCCUGUUUCAAGUGGGGAAAAAUAUUCAGUUGCUGUAUGUUUGUUGCCUCAGAAAGAUGUCUGCAUCUGCAGUAAAAUCAUAAAUGCUUGAUUGCCUGAACUUUUAUAAAUAGUGUCCUUUUGCCCACUGCAGAGGUGAUUACUUCAUUAGCCCAAGAUACAGAGCUAAAAUAAACAUGAUAUACAGUGAGGCUGUUCUGAUUUUGGCUGGAUUCUCAGUCUGUGGGGUCUCUUUUACUCUGGGAAACCUAAGGUAUUUUUUCUGUUUGCAGUAGCAGUGAUAACUUACUUCACAGAGGACAGAAAGCUUGCGUUGAACUUGAUUUCAAAACAUUGUUUAAUCUUGGGGCACUAUCUAGACUGGUUUCUGUUUCAGCUGAGGUUCAAGUUCACGUCCCUUCGAUGCCGUAACUGGAGCAUGCCGGCCAGGCUGACGCAGGAACUUCAUUCACUUGUGUUGUCAUUCUUGUUCCUUCUGCUGAUCUGGAACGUCUUGUUAUCUCAGCAGAGAUGACACACAAACGGACCACGAAGAUCAAAUCAAGUGGGUGAAAACCCCGAUGCCAGUGCUGACCCUCAGCAAUUCACAUGGUAUUUGAAAUUGACAUUAUCCACUGGACAUGGUCCUGGACAACCUGCUCUAGGUGACUCUGCCUGAGCUGGGGAUUGGACAAGAUGACCUCCAGAGAUCCCUUCCAACCUCAACUAUCCCGUGAUUCUGUGAAGUCCACCUUUCCCCAAGAAUCAAAGCCUUCCACUUAUUUUUCUAUGAUUAAAAGUAGCAAGAUUCCUGUAUCAGAUAUAUUUAUGUUCUCUUUCAUCAACAGAUGCUGAAGAUACGUGAGAAUUUUUAAAUUAUAUUUGAAAAAAACAUAGAAGAAAUAUUAAUAGCAUCUCAGCAGUUCUUUGCCUCUUCCAAUUAUUCAUUAUGUCAACUGAGAGCUGUUUUCUUCUUUUGCCAGUUAUGGUACAUUUAUUUAAUUUCUGUAGGAAACUGGUUUUAAUAUUUCAAGAUUCAGCUUGUUUUUUUCCUCCUACAGUCUUUUUUUUUUUUUUAAACAAUAUUAUUACAUGGUAUCCCUUCCCAGCGAAGGAGAAGGAAUAUCAAGCCUUUCUCUGUUCAUUGCCAGUGUCAGUGGAACUGCAUCCCCAGGGCCACUCAAGCAGAUAAAAGAGCUGUUCAUCAUGGGAGUCUCUGUUCUAAGGCCGGUUGCUUUGAUAACUGUUUUUCUGGUCCUCCAAAGCUUUCUGCCUUGUAUCUUCAGAUCUCUCUAGGCUCUGUUUCUUCUCAAAGAUCAUCUUCAGCAUUGCACAUAUUGUCUUCACCCAUGAAAUAUAGCACUACACAAAGCUAACAAGCUUCCAAAAUGUUAUUUAUAUGACCAUUUACAGUAGUGCUUCUGGAGUGAUUUGAUUUUUUUUUCCCCACAUCCAAAACAUCCCAGCAACGGGCAAAAAAUUGCAUCAAAUAUCAAAGAGGUGUUGAAUUUUCAGCAGUAAGCUAAUUGCUGUGUGAUCUUUUCUCCAUGCUUCUAAUGCUAAAAAGCUAAAGGUUUCCCAGGUACUGCAAGAAAAGAUUUGUCAGCCUUUGGAGAAUUUUCCCAUGUGCAGCUGUGGGAGGACUAAACUACAAAUUUGCUGUAAAUUCUUAAAGACAACAUGCAAAAUUCUCUCUUCAAGUGCUGCAAGAGUGGAAAUAAUUCAUCUUCCUGGAAGAACUGCAGCACCAUUCCAAAGACUCAGAAUCUUCAGCUGAAAGAGCUAGGAAUUUGGGAGAAAUGGGCUAUUUCUCUGAAGAAUCCUUACUGUUUGAAAGAGCAUGCUCACUAUGGAUGUCGUCAUUUUUCCUCAUCAUCUACAGGACUCCAGGACACGCACAGGAGGGAAGCAUUUCAAGUAAAUCACCCCAGCCUGACUUCAAAGGAAAGUGAUCUGGACAAGAUGUGCCACAGGGUUUAACAUCUGUGCCGUUCCUAUAAAGCAUUGUUUUGUCCUUCAUACUUAGCGAGGA